UCUCCCCGCGGGCGUGACGGCCGGGCGCGGGGCCUGUGACCCCCGCAGGGACCCUCGGGCCUCGGGCGAAGAACGGAGCCGGGAAGGGGCACAGGAGCCCGGCUUUAAACCUCAAAGACCAGAAUUCACUUACCAGAGCGCGACCUUCGCUUCCGGAAAUCUCCUUCCGGAUAAGCCCAUGUUUCCCCCAGAGGUAAAGCUGGAGGAGUGGGGACUGCUGUGGCCAAACAGGACCUAUGUGGCUGUCGGGGUAUCCAUUCCUAAGAGACACCUGGGGAGCCUGCGACCCCUUCAGAAAGAAGAGAGACACAGACAUGGGAAAAGCCAUGAUGGAAGAGACACAGCCAAACCCAGGGGAUCCCUGAAGCCUCCAGAAACCGAAGGAAUCAGGAAGGACCCUCCUCUGGAGUCUCAGCACUUUCAAAGUGGGGAGCUGCCACGGUGGGGGCAGGGCUGUGGUCCCUGAGGGCUCCGUGUCCCCUGCGUGGUGGCUGGGAGCCGCUCCCACAGGAUGCUCACCAGCAUGCUGGCUUAUAGGAGACUGCGCGGCACUGGACACCCACGCUUGCUCUACCAUCACAACCUUCUCUUGGGUUCCAGUCAGCAUAGGGUGUCUCUGGGGCCAAGGGGAGCUGGGUUUUCAGCCUCCAUGGGGGGCCUUUGGGUGCUGAUUAAGAGUGCAAGUUAGGGACACCUGGGUGGCUCAGUGGUUGAGUGUCUUCAGCUUAGGGUGUGAUCCUAGAAUUCUGGGAUCGAGUCCUGCAUCGGGCUCCCCACAGGAAGCCUGUUUCUCC